rnacentral:rRNA from 1 species
GACAGAGGUCCCGAGCGUUAGGCGGAAUCACUGGGCUUAAAGCGUGUGUAGGCGGAUCGUUAAGUGCCUUGUGAAAUCCCAUGGCUUAACCAUGGAACUGCUGGGCAUACUGGCGAUCUUGAGCCACUUAGGGGCUACCGGAACAAAUGGUGGAGCGGUGAAAUGCGCAGAUAUCAUUUGGAACGCCAAUGGUGAAAACAGGUAGCUGGGAGUGUGCUGACGCUGAGACACGAAAGCCAGGGGAGCGAACGGG